GGCGUAGCCAUCGGUCGCUCCUUGCGCCGCUGUACGCUGCGCCCAAAUCCUGUUUCUCUCCUGUUACCCCUCACCCAAAGCCUUCCUCUAGUCUUCCCAACAGAGGCUGCUGCCGUCGCUGCUGCUGCUGGUGGUUGCCGCCGCCGUGAGCCGCGAGGUUGCUGCUCUCCCCGACGCAUCUCCUCUCCGUGGUCGUUGCCGAGCAGGGGUGGCUGCUGGGCGUCGUGUCGCUAGCAGUGUUGGUACUUCUGGUUCAGGAUCCUUUAACCCACAAGUUGUGCCCC